ACGUCAGACUUCCAAGAAAAGCUCGCAAUGUCAUAAAUAAAAAUGCCUGUACCAUAACCGACACAGGUGGGUAGGUAGAGUAUACUAAGGGGCGCGAGAUAACUCUCUCUAAGGAACUCGGCAAAAUGACUCCGUAACUUCGGGAGAAGGAGUGCCUUAUUUAUAAGGUUGCAAUAACAAGAUCCAAGCAACUGUUUAUCAAAAACACAGGUCUCCGCUAAGUCGUAAGACGAUGUAUGGGGGCUGACGCCUGCCCAGUGCCAGAAGGUUAAAGAAGUUGGUUAGUGUAUGCGAAGCUGAUGACUGAAGCCCUGGUGAACGGCGGCCGUAACAAUAACGGUCCUAAGGUAGCGAAAUUCCUUGUCGGGUAAGUUCCGACCCGCACGAAAGGCGUAAUGAUUUGGAUACUGUCUCGGAGAGAGGCUCGGUGAAAUAGACUUGUCUGUGAAGAUGCGGACUACCUGCACCAGGACAGAAAGACCCUAUGAAGCUUUACUGUAACUUGAAAUUGGAAUUGGACUUUGCUUGCGCAGUAUAGGUGGGAAGCGUUGAAGAUAUUCUUGCGGGAGUAUUGGAGCUAUCAGUGAGAUACCACUCUUGUAAUGUUAGAUUUCUAACUUUGAACCAUAAUCUGGUCAAAGAACAGUCUCAGGUGGGCAGUUUGACUGGGGCGGUCGCCUCCCAAAUGGUAACGGAGGCGUACAAAGGUUUCCUCUGAACGGAUAGAAAUCGUAUCUAGAGUGUAAAGGCAUAAGGAAGCUUGACUGUGAGACCUACAAGUCGAGCAGGGACGAAAGUCGGUCUUAGUGAUCUGACGGUACUGAGUGGAAAGGCCGUCACUCAACGGAUAAAAGUUACUCUAAGGAUAACAGGCUGAUCUCCCCCAAGAGUUCACAUCGACGGGGAGGUUUGGCACCUCGAUGUCGGCUCAUCGCAUCCUGGGGCGGUAGUACGUCCCAAGGGUUGGGCUGUUCGCCCAUGAAAGCGGUACGCGAGCUGGGUUCAGAACGUCGUGAGACAGUUCGGUCCAUAUCCGGUGUAGGCGUUAGAAUAUUGAGAGGAGCCUUCUUUAGUACGAGAGGACCGAGAAGGACACACCGCUGGUGUACCAGUUAUCGUGCCAACGGUAAACGCUGGGUAGCUAUGUGUGGAGUGGAUAACCGCUGAAAGCAUCUAAGUGGGAAGCCCACCUCAAGAUGAGUAUUCUCAUCA
rnacentral:rRNA from 1 species